GAUGAUAGCUUGCUAUCAGGCGUCGAGCGGCGGACGGGUGAGUAAUACUUGGGAAUCUGCCUUUUGGAGGGGGAUAACCACUGGAAACGGUGGCUAAUACCGCAUAAUGCUUUCGAGCCAAAGCGGGGGAUCUUCGGACCUCGCGCCAUUAGAUGAGCCCAAGCAAGAUUAGGUAGUUGGUGGGGUAAAGGCCUACCAAGCCGACGAUCUUUAGCUGGUCUGAGAGGAUGAUCAGCCACACUGGGACUGAGACACGGCCCAGACUCCUACGGGAGGCAGCAGUGGGGAAUAUUGGACAAUGGGGGCAACCCUGAUCCAGCCAUGCCGCGUGUGUGAAGAAGGCCUUAGGGUUGUAAAGCACUUUCAGUGGUGAGGAAGGCUUGCAUAUUAAUAGUGUGCAAGAUUGACGUUAGCCACAGAAGAAGCACCGGCUAACUCCGUGCCAGCAGCCGCGGUAAUACGGAGGGUGCGAGCGUUAAUCGGAAUUACUGGGCGUAAAGCGCACGUAGGCGGUUUGUUAAGCUAGAUGUGAAAGCCCCGGGCUCAACCUGGGAAUUGCAUUUAGAACUGGCAGGCUAGAGUUUUGAAGAGGGUGGUAGAAUUUCCAGUGUAGCGGUGAAAUGCGUAGAUAUUGGAAGGAAUAUCAGUGGCGAAGGCGGCCACCUGGUCAAAAACUGACGCUGAGGAGCGAAAGCGUGGGGAGCAAACAGGAUUAGAUACCCUGGUAGUCCACGCUGUAAACGAUGUCGACUAGUUGUUCGUGUCAUAAACGAUGUGAGUAACGCAGCUAACGCACUAAGUCGACCG
rnacentral:rRNA from 1 species